CCUGCACAAGGUCCAGGCCGAGUCUCUCUCUGUGGCAGGCCUCAGGGCUGCGAGCUUCAGCUUUGGGGAGGUGCCUUCUAGGAGACCCACGUGUGGGCAUGAGCUCAAACAAGGGGCCUUUGUGUCUUCCCACCUGCUGCCCUCCGGAGCACAUUCCAUUCCUAAGUGGCAGCUGAAAGAGGGACCUCAGCCGACACAGGAUAUUACGAAUGCCCUCUCGCACCUUGUCCCCAUUCAAACCCCAGCUUCCUGGACAGGUGUGGCUUCAGGUGGCCCUCCCUCCAGGUGGCCUGAACCUGCAUUGCCGUGGCAGACAAAGAGAAGAGGCUCAACACCCCCACUGAUCCUCCAAAAGGCAGGAGAGAGAGGCCCCUGGGCAGAAGUCAAGUCUCCAGGGUGAGUUAGACCUGGCAUCCCCUGGCCUCCGGCUUCUGCACCACAUGGACAGGAAGUCUACACAACAUCUGGCAGGCAGGAGCCCAUGCUGGGAAGGGAAGCAAAGAGCUGGCAAUUGGGCAGCUUAUCUCUGAGAUGAGGCUUCAGACUCUACCCCCCUGCUCCCUGCACCAUCCCCGAGGCAUCAGGAUCCUCGCCCUCUUGCAGCUGGAUCAGCAGGAGCUCACAAUGACCACAGGUCUAUUUCUUUUGUUAUCUACAAGGUACAAAGCCACAUCACCCUGGAAAGUGCUUCUCUAUGCAGUUUAAGACCCCAGAUCCCAUGUCUGGCCUGUCUUGGUGUGGGUGUUUUAUUCAGCAUCAUGCACUCGGUUCCCUUUGGUGGGGAAAAUCUGGGUGGUCAGUUUUGGAUGAUUGCCAAUUUUUUUUCUGUCACCAGGACCUCAUGCCCUGGAGUAAAGGUGAUGUUCCUAAAGACUUCAGUUGCAAAGGAAGGCAGUUCCCUCCGCCAACUCCAGAGGGAACCACCAUCGUGCAUGGCUGUCUCUGCCUAUUCUGGGAAGCACCUAGAAAGGGUUCUGACCCUGAGGCACCUGUCUUCUCGGUGAAGGCCACACAAGCCGGGCUCAGCCAGCUCAUCCACAGAAGGACAUCUGAGGAGGUCCCACCAACAGAAAAGAAAGGGUCCGUAUUUCCCCAAUCUAUAUCACACCUUUUCUCCCUAUACUAAUAGUUUUGUGAGAAUUCAAUUAUGUUACCCUGCAUGACUUGCGUCUAGCGCAUUUGUUUGCUUUAAAUGAAAUUUUCCAGGUCAUUUGCAAGGAGGGCUCAUUCCUGCCCUUCCCCACACCAACCCCAAUUAAGGUUUCCAGUUUCCAUGUAAACCACAAAUAAAGUAAACUUUCCUUUUUGGCCUGCAAA